rnacentral:rRNA from 2 species
UACGUAUGGGGCGAGCGUUGUCCGGAAUUAUUGGGCGUAAAGGGUACGUAGGCGGUUUUUUAAGUCAGGUGUGAAAGCGUGAGGCUUAACCUCAUUAAGCACUUGAAACUGGAAGACUUGAGUGAAGGAGAGGAAAGUGGAAUUCCUAGUGUAGCGGUGAAAUGCGUAGAUAUUAGGAGGAAUACCGGUGGCGAAGGCGACUUUCUGGACUUUUACUGACGCUCAGGUACGAAAGCGUGGGGAGCAAACAGG